UGAUUUCAAGGCUAUAAAACGUGAGUGG
rnacentral:piRNA from 1 species